GAGUUGGCCAGGCAGUCGCUGUAUGCAAAUACAGAGGAAAGUCCGGGCUCCAUAGGGCAGGGUGCUAGAUAACGUCUAGGGGGCGAAAGCCUACGGAAAGUGCCACAGAAAACAGACCGCCACUCGGCUUCGGCCGAAGGUAAGGGUGAAAAGGUGCGGUAAGAGCGCACCGCGCUAGUGAAAGCUAGUGGCAGGGUAAACCCCACCUGGAGCAAGACCAAAUAGGGGAAUGCGCCGCUUCGAGCGGUAUCGUGUGGUCCGCAUGAGUUCCCGGGUAGGUUGCUAGAGGUGUUACGGCGACGUACAUCCCAGAUGAAUGACUGUCACACCAUAUGGUGUACAGAACCCGGCUUAUCGGCCAACUCUU
rnacentral:RNase_P_RNA from 1 species